rnacentral:rRNA from 1 species
AGCGAACGCUGGCGGCAGGCCUAAUACAUGCAAGUCGAACGGCUCUUCGGAGCAGUGGCGGACGGGUGAGUAACACGUGGGAACGUGCCCUUUGGUACGGAACAACUGAGGGAAACUUCAGCUAAUACCGUAUGUGCCCCCAUUCUUAGCGGGAUGGGUGGGAAAGAUUUAUUGCCAUUGGAGCGGCCCGCGUUGGAUUAGCUAGUUGGUGGGGUAAAGGCCCACCAAGGCUACGAUCCAUAGCUGGUCUGAGAGGAUGAUCAGCCACACUGGGACUGAGACACGGCCCAGACUCCUACGGGAGGCAGCAGUAGGGAAUCUUGCGCAAUGGGCGAAAGCCUGACGCAGCCAUGCCGCGUGAAUGAUGAAGGUCUUAGGAUUGUAAAAUUCUUUCACCGGGGGAGAUAAUGACGGUACCUGGAGAAGAAGCCCCGGCUAACUUCGUGCCAGCCGCCGCAGUAA